rnacentral:lncRNA from 1 species
CACCCCGAGCAGGUGGUAGAUGUCCGCUGAGGAAUUCCAGUGGGCAGUGGCCAGCCUCGCUGGGUGUCAGCUCACCCCUACAGUCACUGGGAGGCAAAGGAAUCAAGCUUCACACCCCUCAAAAGCAACAUCAAUGGAGAGGCCCCGGCUAGGGUCGGUGCUGACCCCCGGGAUCAGUGCCUGGCGGUGUGCUCUGCGUGGCGACGGCAGUGAGAGGAUUGAGAGCAGAAGUGUGGCCAGCGGGCGCCGCUGGCCAAGUCUGGACCAUGCCUAGCAGAUCGAGGAGACCUUCCCGAGCUGUUCCCUCCCAAGGGAAGCCCUUACCUUCCAAAGCUUAGCUGCCUGCGUUUCCUCAGUCACUCCUGGGAAGAGGGUGCCAUCCUUCCCCAGCAGGUCCUUCAUUUCUGGUCACUCCUCUAACCAUGGAGGCCCUGACCCAGCUGCAAAGUCAAAGUGGGCCAAACACAUCUUGGAAGUCCAGUUACUCCCCUCAGACAACAUAAAAACAAGCGUAGAGAUGCUCCCAGCCUCU